UACGUAGGGUGCGAGCGUUAAUCGGAAUUACUGGGCGUAAAGCGUGCGCAGGCGGUGAUGUAAGACAGGUGUGAAAUCCCCGGGCUUAACCUGGGAACUGCAUUUGUGACUGCAUCGCUGGAGUGCGGCAGAGGGGGAUGGAAUUCCGCGUGUAGCAGUGAAAUGCGUAGAUAUGCGGAGGAACACCGAUGGCGAAGGCAAUCCCCUGGGCCUGCACUGACGCUCAUGCACGAAGCGUGGGGAGCAAA
rnacentral:rRNA from 1 species